rnacentral:lncRNA from 1 species
CAGUACUGAAAUAAAUAAAUAGAUAAAAAGUAGAAUUAUUUUAUGAAAAAGGAUAUUUUACUAAACUUCAAUAUAUAAGAAAGAAAAGUGGAUGUAUGAAGGAAAGAUCCUCUAACCUUUACCCAUUUGACUUCUGUCCCAUCUUUCCACAUGCUGAAGUACCUGAAUAAAACUUUUCCAGAAGACACAGAUAAACAACAAUAACACAUUGUUUCAGGCUGCAGUUUAUGUCUCCUGGUCAGUUCUACCAGGUAGAAUGCAUUCAUUCAGCACACAUAUAUUGAGUGCCUACUGUCUGCCAAGAGCAUAGGGAAGCUUAUAUUCUAGAAGAAUGGACCAUAGUAAAUAAUAUACAGAAUGAAUAAAUAAAUUACAUAAUACCUUAGAAAGAAAUAACAACUAGAAGAAAGUGGAGACAGCUGGGCAUGGUGGCACAUGCCUAUAAUACCAGUAAAUUGGGAGGCUGAGGCAGGAGAAUCAUAAGUUCAAAGCCAUCCUCAGCAACUUAACAAGGCCUUAAGCAACUUAACAAGAACCUUUCUCAACAUAAAGAAUGAAAAAACACCAGGGCCUGGGAUGUGACUAAGCAGUUAAGUGCCCCUGGAUUCAAUCCUCAGUACCAGAAAAAAGGAGGAGGAGGAGGAGAAAAUAGAGACAGAGUAAGAGAAAUAAGGAGUGGGGCAUGUAGAAUUGUAAAUAGGUGAUCAGAGAAGGCCCCAGUGAGGAGGGAUACAAGUAAAAACUUGCAGGUGACCUCAUGCUGCCAUUAAUGGUGCCUGCACUCAUGGGAAAAGGUUGCUGCUGAGAUGCCCUAUGUGAGGCUGUCUCAGGGGCCAUUUGAAGACAAUCCAUGAUGGUAGUUGAUCUUGCAUACUCCCUUACCAGGCCCACACCUCUCAGAUCUUUGUGCUUUCACAAGAAGGAGUGAAGUCAUCCCCCUGGUUUGUAGAUCUUACAGGGAUCAAUCAAGAUCUUGGAAUCAGCAUCAGUUGUUCAUUCAUUCCUUCAUCCAUCAGUCCUGGGUUUAUUGUCCACCAUGUUGGGACAGGUUUCUGGGUUGCAGCAGUCAAUUAACUGAAGUCCUUCUUUCUCAAGAAGUUUGCAACCAAGUUCAAGGUGCAUGUAAGUAAAAUAACAGUCCCCCAAACAAUGAGCUACCUGAAAGAUAAAGUUAUGCACCCAGAUAAUAAGAAUCCAGAGGACAUCAACCCAAGCCUGGGGUCACCGAGUGCUACCUGACAUAAAGGAUGAGCAUGCUGUCAAUGAUGGCAGUCUGCCCUCCAUCCUAAAAAAGUCACUGCUUUUUGUCCUUCAUAAGUCUGAAACCC